CCCUCAGCUGAGCUGGACUGAUGGCGGAUUUAACUAUGGAAACUAUGAAAACGCGAGUAAAACAAACGAUUACACUAAAGGUUGGGCUCGAAAGUGUUCCUUAUAACAUGUCAAAGAAACCUAAUGUAUGGAUAUUGACAUGCAGGAAGGAAUCGUGUUUCCUGACAUUUAUAGCUAUGUCAAAAAUUGACAUUCAAAAUCCUCCCUCAACCUUCUCAUCUUCCGAGUGGACGUUUCUCUGAACAAGUCGCGAGCGCCACAGAGAAAACCAACACAAUCUGAGGUUUUUGUAUGGAAUUCGAGCAGGUGGUUGUAACUGAGGGUAGAAAUGCUACGCUACAGUUCCCAACUUCUGGAUUGACUACUUUCUAUGAAAUAAAUUGUACAACAAAGUCUAAGAUCACUUGGAUCGGUCAAUACUGUGGCACUAAUGAGAACUGCACCACCAGAUCGGUUGAGCUGAAUGUUUUAAUAGAGUCUGGCGGUCUAAUUCUAACUAAUGUCACCUCCAACAAAUGCUACAGUGCAAAACCCAUACCAGGAAAGAGGAAAUAUUAUAAUGUUACUACAAAGAAACCACCACACUCGACUAUCAGCCCAAAGAAAAGCAACUCAAACUUCAGUACUGCAACACCCUUCCAUACUUCAACUUCAGACACAUCCAGUGAAUCCAGUGCUGGUGUUAUUGUUGGUGGAGUUGUCGGUGGUGUUGUUCCUCGCUUACCUUGGUUACAAAUUUAAAAAAUCCCGGCAGAAGUAUAGACAAGUGAAUAUGAAUGCUCCAGUGUGAUGCUGGCAAGAUCAGGGGUUAAAUAAAACUCAAAUGCUAUGGACAGUACUGCAAAGUUUGAAAAGAUUUUGUUGCAAAGAAAAUGAAGGAAUGAGACUCGAAGAGGAUGGCAUUCAUUGACUUGGUGGUUUCGCAGGAAAACCGGAAGGAGCCAGUUCACUUUUAACAUCUGUGAACGAAACUCAACUUUAGGUUGCUGCACUGCCUACAAUGAAUUCCAACUAAA